CCCGGAAGUGGUUUGCAGGUGACCAGCCUGGAUGGUGGUCACUCAAUACACCCGUAAGCUGUAAGUCCUUUAUUGUAAUCUCCAUGAAGGACUGCACCUGACCCACCUGCCAUGGAGCGCACAGCUGGGAUGCUGUUGGGUGGAUAAGGCUCACCGUGGAGCAGCCUGCUGUCUCUAGGCUGUUUGCAGUGUAGCGAGCACAGCUCUUGCCUGGCAGCCUGGUUUCCUGGAGGAAAUCCUGGAAGACAGGUGACAGUUCAUAUUGUUGCCGAGACUGUUGGAAGCAGUGAAGAAACGGAAGGGACUGAGGGAUCUCUGUGUAGCAGACAGACAGACCACAGAGGAGAGACUAGCCUCAGCUUUGCUGUGUAGACAAGGAUGAUUUCAUACCAUGCCUCAGCCCCGGGCAUGCUGGGAUUGGAUGAUCUCAUACCACGCCUCAGCCCUGCGCAUGCUGGGAUUACAGGUGUGUGCCACGCUUCCCAUUGAUGCAAGAUGCGAUCGCUUGUGUGUCUCCUGAGUGAACCAAGGAUGCACCCAUCAGUGCCAUCUCUACCCUGAGUUGUGAUGGAGCCAAGGGGGGUUCUUACCGUUUGAACUUCCUGUCUCCCAGACUUGCAUGCUAAAUAAACUUCUUUUUCAACA